rnacentral:rRNA from 1 species
AUUGAACGCUGGCGGCAUGCCUUACACAUGCAAGUCGAACGGCAGCACGGGUGCUUGCACCUGGUGGCGAGUGGCGAACGGGUGAGUAAUACAUCGGAACAUGUCCUGUAGUGGGGGGUAGCCCGGCGAAAGCCGGAUUAAUACCGCAUACGAUCUACGGAUGAAAGCGGGGGACCUUCGGGCCUCGCGCUAUAGGGUUGGCCGAUGGCUGAUUAGCUAGUUGGUGGGGUAAAGGCCUACCAAGGCGACGAUCAGUAGCUGGUCUGAGAGGACGACCAGCCACACUGGGACUGAGACACGGCCCAGACUCCUACGGGAGGCAGCAGUGGGGAAUUUUGGACAAUGGGCGAAAGCCUGAUCCAGCAAUGCCGCGUGUGUGAAGAAGGCCUUCGGGUUGUAAAGCACUUUUGUCCGGAAAGAAAUCCUUGGCCCUAAUACGGUCGGGGGAUGACGGUACCGGAAGAAUAAGCACCGGCUAACUACGUG